AUUGAACGCUGGCGGCAGGCCUAACACAUGCAAGUCGGACGGUAACAGGAAGCAGCUUGCUGCUUUGCUGACGAGUGGCGGACGGGUGAGUAAUGUCUGGGAAACUGCCUGAUGGAGGGGGAUAACUACUGGAAACGGUAGCUAAUACCGCAUAACGUCGCAAGACCAAAGAGGGGGACCUUAGGGCCUCUUGCCAUCAGAUGUGCCCAGAUGGGAUUAGCUUGUUGGUGGGGUAACGGCUCACCAAGGCGACGAUCCCUAGCUGGUCUGAGGGGGUGACCAGCCACGCUGGGACGGAGACACGGUCCAGACGCAUACGGGAGGCAGCAGUGGGGAAUAUUGCACAAUGGGCGCAAGCCUGAUGCAGCCAUGCCGCGUGUAUGAAGAAGGCCUUCGGGUUGUAAAGUACUUUCAGCGGGGAGGAAGGGGAGAAGGUUAAUAACCUUUUUCAUUGACGUUACCCGCAGAAGAAGCACCGGCUAACUCCGUGCCAGCCGCCGCCGUAA
rnacentral:rRNA from 1 species